rnacentral:tRNA from 1 species
GGACUUGUAGCUCAGUAGGUAGAGCAACGCCCUUUUAAGGCGAUGGUCCCCGGUUCGAGCCCGGGCAAGUCCACCA